UAAGGAAUUCGGCAAAUUUAUUUUUCACCUGUUUAUUAAAAACAUGUCUUUUUGAUAAUAAUUUAAAGUCUAAUCUGCCCACUGAAUUUUUAAAUGGCCGCGGUAUUUUGACCGUGCGAAGGUAGCAUAAUCAUUAGUUUUUUAAUUGAAAGCUGGAAUGAAGGAUUGAAUGAAAAAAUGACUGUCUUAAUUUAAAUGUUUUAGAAUUUUAUUUUUAAGUUAAAAAGCUUAAAUUUAAUUAAAAGACGAGAAGACCCUAUAGAGUUUUAUAUAAAUUUGUAAUGUUAAUAUAAAGAUUAAAAGGUUAAUUUUUUAGGUUUAUAUUUUAUUGGGGUGAUAGAAAAAUUAAAAUAACUUUUUUUAUAUUAAAUCAUUAAUGUAUGAAUUUUUGAUCCAAGGAUUUUGAUUAUAAGAAAUAAUUACCUUAGGGAUAACAGCGUAAUUUUUUUUAAGAGUUCUUAUCGAAAAGAAAGAUUGCGACCUCGAUGUUGGAUUAAAAUUUAUUUUUGGUGUAGAAGCUGAAAUAUUAGGUCUGUUCGACCUUUAAAAUUUUACAUGAUCUGAGUUUAAAUCGGUGUGAGCCAGAUUGGUUUCUAUCUUUAAUUAGAAAGAAUAUUUUAGUACGAAAGGACCAAGUAUUUAAUUAAUAAUUUUAAAAAUGAAUAUUAAUA
rnacentral:rRNA from 1 species